ACAAGAGUCAGACACUGUAAUUGGGAGAACCUGAAUAUGGUAACUGGGGUGUUCCCUUCUUAAGGGAACCUAUUUUCCACACCCAAAUUGAUCCUGUAAGGUUGUUAUCUUAUAAUGCACAUGUUGAGUGGUGCUGUAAGGCCUCAGGAUAUGAAAUAUCAUUAUGGGAUGUCAUACCCUAUCUUGAGGGACUGAACUAUCAAUAUGGGAUUAAUAUGGAAAAGAAAACCAGAUGACAAAAGUGAGAGAAUUGGAGUCUUCUAGACAUGGCUAUCUAUUUAUCAGAAUGAAAACACACAACAGGACUUGAUCAAACUUAGCAAAUAUGUGGAAGAUCAACACAGCACCAAAGAUAUCUUAUCAGAACUCAACAUGCUAAUUUUAAAUAGCAUCCUUAAAGCAUGAGAGAGAGCGUGUUAACUGUGACACAUUCCAGAAGACAUCACAGAGUAGAGGCAGUCUCAUCUGGACGGCUACCAAAAAUCAAAAAGUGGAAAUAGGAAUCAGAGAAAAGAAACCACCCCCAGCCUUCCAUUCAACAAAGACUUCAGAAGCUCCCAUUUAUCCAACAGUGCAUUAAUCAUUAAGAGUCUAAUAUUACAUAAUACCAUCACUGGUUUUCAUGUACUGAAGUGGUUACUCUAUGAACAUAUAAAUACAGCCACUUGGCUUCUUAUCUUUUCAUGCCUUGUGACCGUUAGAUAUUUUUGUGAGCAUAAUCUACUGGGGAAAUGUUGUGUUUGAAAGAAUGGGAACUGACAUGAAAGCUUCAUUCAUAACAUUUGAUUAGUUACUGUUUAGUCACACAUACAAAUUGCCAACUUGCUAAGUGAUGAAUUAGGUGAUAUGUAAACUAGUCCACUUCUUCAGUAGCCUUGAAUGAGUGUUAUAGUUAGUACAAAUUUGUAUCAAAUCAUAGAAAUGUUCAUCCACAAUUCAUUAAUAGUAAUAGAUAAAAUAUUCCUGCUUUGUCAUGUGUUGUAUUUUGACUAAUGCUCUAUUUUUUAUGCCAACUCUCUGCUCAUUCUGAUAAUUUCAUGCCUGCUGUCAUAUUUUCAUCCUUUGUAUAAGAAACUUCCCCAAUUUACACAUGUUGAGCUCUUAUAUAUCCUAACAUUAAAACAUUCAAAAACCAG